rnacentral:rRNA from 1 species
GAUGAACGCUGGCUACAGGCUUAACACAUGCAAGUCGAGGGGAAACGACGGGGAAGCUUGCUUCCCCGGGCGUCGACCGGCGCACGGGUGAGUAACGCGUAUCCAACCUGCCUCUGACUGAGGGAUAACCCGUCGAAAGUCGGCCUAAUACCUCAUGGCAUCGUCUGCGGGCAUCCAACGACGAUUAAAGAUUUCAUCGGUCAGGGAUGGGGAUGCGUCUGAUUAGCUUGUUGGCGGGGUAACGGCCCACCAAGGCGACGAUCAGUAGGGGUUCUGAGAGGAAGGUCCCCCACAUUGGAACUGAGACACGGUCCAAACUCCUACGGGAGGCAGCAGUGAGGAAUAUUGGUCAAUGGGCGAGAGCCUGAACCAGCCAAGUAGCGUGCAGGAUGACGGCCCUAUGGGUUGUAAACUGCUUUUAUGCGGGGAUAAAGUGAGGGACGUGUCCU